rnacentral:rRNA from 1 species
AAACCGGGUGAUCUAGCCAUGAGCAGGUUGAAGUUGAGGUGAAACUCAAUGGAGGACCGAACCGACUACCGUUGAAAAGUUAGCGGAUGACUUGUGGAUAGGGGAGAAAUUCCAAUCGAACCCGGAGAUAGCUGGUUCUCCCCGAAAUAGCUUUAGGGCUAGCGUCGGAAAGAACCUUAGUGAAGGUAGAGCACUGAAUGUGUGAUGGCCCCAUCCCGGGGUACUGAAUACAAUCAAACUGCGAAUGUCAUUAAGGAUGUCCGGCAGUCAGACUGUGAGUGAUAAGGUCCAUGGUCAAGAGGGAAACAGCCCAGACCGCCAGUUAAGGUCCCAAAAUACAGGCUAAGUGGAAAAGGAUGUGGGGAUGCCCAGACAACUAGGAGGUUGGCUCAGAAGCAGCCAUCCUUUAAAGAGUGCGUAACAGCUCACUAGUCGAGUGACCCUGCGCCGAAAAUGUACCGGGGCUAAGCCUGAUACCGAAACUGCGGAUUGUAGGAAACUAUAGUGGUAGGGGAGCGUUGUAUACGAGCAGAAGCCGUACCGUGAGGAGCGGUGGAUUGUAUAGAAGUGAGAAUGCCGGUGUGAGUAGCGAGAUGUAGGUGAGAAUCCUACACACCGAAAGCCCAAGGAUUCCAGGGGAAGGUUCGUCCGCCCUGGGUAAGUCGGGACCUAAGGCGAGGCCGAAAGGCGUAGUGGAUGGAAAGCAGGCGAAAGAUUCCUGCACCCGUAUAUGGAGCGAAGGAGUGACGGAGACGGAUAGUGUGACCCUCUUAAUGGAUUGAGGGCGAAGCGAAGCGGCUGGUUACCAGGCAAAUCCGGUAACCGAAAAGGCUAGAGCGUGACAGGUAAGCGAAAUCUUAGGAAAGUAGCGAAGCACAUGAUGACGGCUUCCAGGAAAAGCUUCUGGCAAUGCAUAUGCGGCCCGUACCAAAACCGACACAGGUGGGCAGGGAGAGAAUCCCGAGGUGAGCGAGAGAACUGUUGCCAAGGAACUCGGCAAAAUGACUCCGUAAGUUAGCGAGAAGGAGUGCUUAAGCAAUUAAGCCGCAGUGAAGAGGCCCAAGCGACUGUUUAACUAAAACACAGCUCUCUGCGAAGUCGCAAGACGAAGUAUAGGGGGUGACACCUGCCCGGUGCUGGAAGGUUAAGAGGAUCUGUUAAGAGCGAUCUGAAGCAGUGAUCCGAAGCCCCAGUGAACGGCGGCCGUAACUAUAACGGUCCUAAGGUAGCGAAAUUCCUUGUCAGGUAAGUUCUGACCC